AUUGAACGCUGGCGGCAGGCCUAACACAUGCAAGUCGAACGGUAACAGGGAUCAGCUUGCUGAUUCGCUGACGAGUGGCGGACGGGUGAGUAAUGUCUGGGAAACUGCCUGAUGGAGGGGGAUAACUACUGGAAACGGUAGCUAAUACCGCAUAACGUCGCAAGACCAAAGAGGGGGACCUUCGGGCCUCUUGCCAUCGGAUGUGCCCAGAUGGGAUUAGCUAGUAGGUGGGGUAACGGCUCACCUAGGCGACGAUCCCUAGCUGGUCUGAGAGGAUGACCAGCCACACUGGAACUGAGACACGGUCCAGACUCCUACGGGAGGCAGCAGUGGGGAAUAUUGCACAAUGGGCGCAAGCCUGAUGCAGCCAUGCCGCGUGUAUGAAGAAGGCCUUCGGGUUGUAAAGUACUUUCAGCGGGGAGGAAGGGAGUAAAGUUAAUACCUUCGCUCAUUGACGUUACCCGCAGAAGAAGCACCGGCUAACUCCG
rnacentral:rRNA from 1 species